GCUCUUGUAGUGUAGUCCGGUCCAGCAUUCGGGCCUUUCGCGCCUGGGACCCGGGUUCAAAUCCCGGCGGGAGCA
rnacentral:tRNA from 1 species